rnacentral:lncRNA from 1 species
CUAUUUCCUUCUCAUUGAAUUUAUGGGCCAUUUAUAGUACUCCCUUCCUUCCUUCCUCCUUUCUUCCCUCCCUUCUUCCCUUCUUCCCUUCUUCCCUCCCUCCCUCCCUCCCUCUCUCCCUCCCUCCCUCCCUCCCUUCCUCCCUUCCUCCCUUCCUUCCUUCCUUCCUUCCUUCCUCCCUCCCUCCCUCCCUCCCUCCCUCCGUCCCUUCCUUCCUUCCUUCCUUCCUUCCUUCCUUCCUUCCUUCCUUCCUUCCUUCCUUCUCCACAAUCCACAAUGUAGGGGAGAGUCUGGGUUAGGUACUAACUAGAUGGGCUAGAUGAUGUCUGAGAUCUGUUCUUAUCCAGACAUCCCCUGGUUCUGCCAGUCUCUUUUCCUUGUCCCACAUGUUUUCCCACCAAAUGUUCACAGGGGUCCUAGGAGCGAGGCUCCUGGGUGCUUGGCUUUCCUUAUGUGGACAGCCAUUGGGGGAAGAGAGAGUUCCGGUUAUCUAACUGAUAUGAUGCCAGUUACUAUGGCAGCAACCUCCUGUUCCCAGGGAUAUCUUUAUUCCAGAGCCGUCCUUCAUUCACCCAGCCAGCUGCAGUGGAAACCUGAUUUGUACAAAUGUGCCAACGAGAGGCUCCAGCCCCUGCGUGCAAAUCUCAUUGCAAUCAGAGAAGGGCUGCGUUUAUUCAUUUCUUUCCCUGGAUGUUGUAAGAGAGAAAAUCAGAUCCAGCAUGGCAAAAGGAACAACCCAAGCAGGGGGAAGGGCAAAGAAGCCCCAAGAUUCCAGAAAGGAAGAGAUGAGCUGGGAGGAUUCAAAAACACUCACUUCACUUAUUCUUGGGAGCUCUCCUAGAGUGGAUGGUCUGAGGGAAGACCUCUGUGAUAGAGGGCCUCUCUAGACAUUGACUAUUUUCCAGUGAACCCCAAAUCCCUCUGUUCCAGCUGAAGCCAAUAAAAGUAGAUUGGGACUUUGCA